rnacentral:rRNA from 1 species
AAUCGCUAGUAAUCGCGAAUCAGAAUGUCGCGGUGAAUACGUUCCCGGGUCUUGUACACACCGCCCGUCACACCAUGGGAGUCAGCAACGCCCGAAGUCAGUGACCUAACCGAAAGGAAGGAGCUGCCGAAGGCGGGGCCGGUAACUGGGGUGAAGUCGUAACAAGGUAUC